GAAAGUGUGGCUAAGUACGGGAUAUUCGUGGGUCUGUCGCAGUGGUGGGCCGUGGGAAAGAUUGCGCUUUUUUGGUGUUUUUGGUGGGGGAUGGGCUCGCGGCCUAUCAGCUUGUUGGUGGGGUGAUGGCCUACCAAGGCGGUGACGGGUAGCCGGCCUGAGAGGGUGGACGGUCACACUGGGACUGAGACACGGCCCAGACUCCUACGGGAGGCAGCAGUGGGGAAUAUUGCACAAUGGGCGCAAGCCUGAUGCAGCGACGCCGCGUGAGGGAUGGAGGCCUUCGGGUUGUGAACCUCUUUCGCCAGUGAAGAAGGUCCUGCUCUUUGUGGUGGGGUUGACGGUAGCUGGGUUAAUGAAGCGCCGGCUAACUAC
rnacentral:rRNA from 1 species